CAUAAUCRUUAGUUUUUUAAUUGAGAACUUGUAUGAAUGGUUGAAUGAGAAAUAAACUUUUUUAAUAAAAAUAUUGAAUUUUACAUUUUAAUUAAAAGGUUAAAAUGAUUUUAAAAGACGAGAAGACCCUAUAGAGUUUUAUAAUUUAUGUUUAAAUUUUUAAAAAAAUUAAUUGGUAUUUUUAUUUAAAUAAAUUAUUUUAUUGGGGUGAUAAUAAAAUUUAAUUAACUUUUAUUUUUUUUUACAUUAAUAUAUGGAAAAUUGAUCCAUUACUAAUGAUCAAAAAAUUAAAUUACCUUAGGGAUAACAGCGUAAUUUUUUUUUUAAGUUCAUAUUAAUAAAAAAUUUUGCGACC
rnacentral:rRNA from 1 species